AUUGAACGCUGGCGGCGUGCCUAACACAUGCAAGUCGAGCGGUAACAGGUGUAGCAAUACAUGCUGACGAGCGGCGAACGGGUGAGUAAUGCUUCGGAAUCUACCCAAUGGUGGGAAUAACCAGCCGAAAGGUUGGCUAAUACCGCAUACGUCCCACGGGAGAAAGCAGGGGAUCGCAAGACCUUGCGCCAAUGGAUGAGCCGAAGUCGGAUUAGCUAGNGGUAGGGUAACGGCCUACCAAGGCGACGAUCCGUAGCUGGUCUGAGAGGACGACCAGCCACACUGGGACUGAGACACGGCCCAGACUCCUACGGGAGGCAGCAGUGGGGAAUAUUGGACAAGUGGGGGAAACCCUGAUCCAGCGACGCCGCGUGUGUGAAGAAGGCCU
rnacentral:rRNA from 1 species